rnacentral:rRNA from 1 species
AUUGAACGCUGGCGGUAGGCCUAACACAUGCAAGUCGAAUGGUAACAGGAAACAGCUUGCUGUUUCGCUGACGAGUGGCGGACGGGUGAGUAAUGUCUGGGAAACUGCCUGAUGGAGGGGGAUAACUACUGGAAACGGUAGCUAAUACCGCAUAACGUCGCAAGACCAAAGAGGGGGACCUUCGGGCCUCUUGCCAUCAGAUGUGCCCAGAUGGGAUUAGCUAGUAGGUGGGGUAACGGCUCACCUAGGCGACGAUCCCUAGCUGGUCUGAGAGGAUGACCAGCCACACUGGAACUGAGACACGGUCCAGACUCCUACGGGAGGCAGCAGUGGGGAAUAUUGCACAAUGGGCGCAAGCCUGAUGCAGCCAUGCCGCGUGUAUGAAGAAGGCCUUCGGGUUGUAAAGUACUUUCAGCGGGGAGGAAGGGAGUAAAGUUAAUACCUUUGCUCAUUGACGUUACCCGAAGAAGAAGCACCGGCUAACUCCGUG